CACGUGGUGACUUGUCCCCUCCCCCUCCUGAAAGUGGAAUGUUCUUGCCUCAAGAUUUCCAUGGACAGAGGAGACUGGCAGAGAAUCAGACACGACUGAGUGACUCACUUUUCCUUAAAGAUCCACCAAAGGAUGGUGACAGCCCUGGAACCGGACCCGCAGCACCCCCUCGGUGGCACCAUGCAGGCCCUGGUCUCCCCGGGGACCAAGGCCAUCUUCAUGGCUCUGUUCCUCUUCGCUAUCCUGCUCAUCCUCUGCGUGAUCUUGUGGUACAUUUGCCGGGACCUGUACGAUGAUUACAUCCGAAGCAGAUUUCAGAGGGCCAGGAAGGAAUUCCCAAGCAGAAGAAAGUCUCCAAGGAAGUGCCAGGGCCCUGCUCGCCUGUCUUCUCCUCCUGCCCUCAGACAUGGCUGGGAAAGGGAAGCCUGUGAUCCAGCUGACAACCAAUCAGCGGAUGCCUCACACAGGCCUUUGGAAUACCUGCCUUUUUGCUAUGUCCCUUCAGCCUGAACAGCAAGAUCCCUGGGAAUUCUGCUGCCCUGUCAUGGAUUGGAGGCUGUAGGUUUAUAUCCAAAGAACCUGCUGAUUAUGUGGCACAUCAGAGUACUCACACACCCAACAAGAAAACAUUUGGAGAAUGUGUUGAAGUUGCCCAGAAGGAUUAC
ensembl:lncRNA